CGCCGAAAAUGUCCGGGGCUCAAACUUACCACCGAAGCUACGGGCUUGCGUAAGCAAGCGGUAGGGGAGCGUCGUAAUCGGGCUGAAGUCGUACCGUAAGGAGCGGUGGACUGAUUACGAGUGAGAAUGUUGGCAUUAGUAGCGAGAUGUAGGUGAGAAUCCUACAGGCCGAAUAUCUAAGGUUUCCUCAGGAAGGCUCGUCCGCUGAGGGUUAGUCGGGACCUAAGCCGAGGCCGAAAGGCGUAGGCGAUGGACAAUCGGUUGAUAUUCCGAUACCACUACCAUCGUUAUUAUCGAGGGUGUGACGGAGAAGGAUAGUGUGUGCUAGCGAUUGGAAAUGCUAGUCUAAGCGUUUAGGGAGUUACGGUAGGCAAAUCCGCUGUAACAAUGCUGAGGCGUGAUGGGGAAGGCCAUUGAGACCGAAGUACAUGAUUCCAUGCUUCCAAGAAAAGCAUCUAGAGAGAGAAGUAGUGCCCGUACCGCAAACCGACACAGGUAGAUGAGGAGAGAAUCCUAAGGCCGGCGGAAGAAUUGCAGUUAAGGAACUAGGCAAAUUGACCCCGUAAGUUCGCGAGAA
rnacentral:rRNA from 1 species